AGAGUUUGAUCCUGGCUCAGAGUGAACGCUGGCGGUAGGCCUAACACAUGCAAGUCGAACGGCAGCACAGUAAGAGCUUGCUCUUAUGGGUGGCGAGUGGCGGACGGGUGAGGAAUACAUCGGAAUCUACCUUUUCGUGGGGGAUAACGUAGGGAAACUUACGCUAAUACCGCAUACGACCUUCGGGUGAAAGCAGGGGACCUUCGGGCCUUGCGCGGAUAGAUGAGCCGAUGUCGGAUUAGCUAGUUGGCGGGGUAAAGGCCCACCAAGGCGACGAUCCGUAGCUGGUCUGAGAGGAUGAUCAGCCACACUGGAACUGAGACACGGUCCAGACUCCUACGGGAGGCAGCAGUGGGGAAUAUUGGACAAUGGGCGCAAGCCUGAUCCAGCCAUACCGCGUGGGUGAAGAAGGCCUUCGGGUUGUAAAGCCCUUUUGUUGGGAAAGAAAAGCAGUCGGCUAAUACCCGGUUGUUCUGACGGUACCCAAAGAAUAAGCACCGGCUAACUUCGUGCCAGCAGCCGCGGUAAUACGAAGGGUGCAAGCGUUACUCGGAAUUACUGGGCGUAAAGCGUGCGUAAGUGGUUGUUUAAGUCUGUUGUGAAAGCCCUGGGCUCAACCUGGGCAUUGCAGUGGAUACUGGGCGACUAGAGUGUGGUAGAGGGU
rnacentral:rRNA from 1 species